rnacentral:rRNA from 1 species
ACGAACGCUGGCGGCAUGGAUUAGGCAUGCAAGUCGAACGAUUUUAUAAGCGUAGCAAUACGUUUAUAAGGUAGUGGCGCAAGGGUGAGGAACACGUGAGUAAUCUGCCCUCAAGUUUGGAAUAACCUUUCGAAAGAGAGGCUAAUACCGGAUGUGGCUAUACGAUCGCAUGGUUGUAUAUCUAAAGGUUUACUGCUUGAGGAUGAGCUCGCGUCCCAUUAUGCUAGUUGGUGAGGUAACGGCCCACCAAGGCUAUGACGGGUAGGUGGUCUGAGAGGAUGGUCACCCACACUGGGACUGAGAACUGCCCAGACUCCUACGGGAGGCUGCAGUCGAGAAUCUUCCGCAAUGGGCGCAAGCCUGACGGAGCAAUGCCGCGUGCAGGAUGAAGGCCUUCGGGUUGUAAACUGCUGUCACAGGGGAUGAACGCAAUGACAGUACCCUGGGAGGAAGCCACGGCUAACUACGU